AACGAACGCUGGCGGCAGGCUUAACACAUGCAAGUCGAACGGGCCCUUCGGGGUCAGCGGCAGACGGGUGAGUAACGCGUGGGAACGUGCCCUUCAGUUCGGGAUAACCCAGGGAAACUUGGGCUAAUACCGGAUACGUGCGAGAGCAGAAAGAUUUAUCGCUGAAGGAUCGGCCCGCGUCUGAUUAGCUGGUUGGUGGGGUAAUGGCCCACCAAGGCGACGAUCAGUAGCUGGUCUGAGAGGAUGAUCAGCCACAUUGGGACUGAGACACGGCCCAAACUCCUACGGGAGGCAGCAGUGGGGAAUAUUGGACAAUGGGCGCAGGCCUGAUCCAGCCAUGCCGCGUGAGUGAUGACGGCCUUAGGGUUGUAAAGCUCUUUCGCACGCGACGAUAAUGACGGUAGCGUGAGAAGAAGCCCCGGCUAACUUCGUGCCAGCCGCCGCCGUAA
rnacentral:rRNA from 1 species